UCUCAUUUCGCAGAAUUCUUCAGAAUAGCAACAUCGUUUAUUUUGGAGGCAAAUACAAAUUUCUUUCGUUUCUUGCGUCUUUUUCUCUCUUUAUGCAGAUUUUCUAAUUUUCUCAAACUUUUAAGAGCCUGCAAGGCUUGAACCUUCUUGUUUGGCGACAUUUUACAAAUGAAAAAGUAUGCUGUCAAAUGCCCAGUCAACAUAACUCUAUCUCGCUUGCGAGAGAAAAAAGCAGAACGCAUGCGAGAUUUUCAAGCAUGUGAAGACGGCCGGUUGGCCGCACCAAUUAUAAAA